UACGUAUGUCGCAAGCGUUAUCCGGAUUUAUUGGGCGUAAAGCGCGUCUAGGCGGUUUAGUAAGUCUGAUGUGAAAAUGCGGGGCUCAACCCCGUAUUGCGUUGGAAACUGCUAAACUAGAGUACUGGAGAGGUAGGCGGAACUACAAGUGUAGAGGUGAAAUUCGUAGAUAUUUGUAGGAAUGCCGAUGGGGAAGCCAGCCUACUGGACAGAUACUGACGCUAAAGCGCGAAAGCGUGGGUAGCAAACA
rnacentral:rRNA from 1 species